rnacentral:rRNA from 1 species
GAUGAACGCUGGCGGCGUGCCUAAUACAUGCAAGUCGAGCGAACAGACGAGGAGCUUGCUCCUCUGACGUUAGCGGCGGACGGGUGAGUAACACGUGGAUAACCUACCUCUAAGACUGGGAUAACUUCGGGAAACCGGAGCUAAUACCGGAUAAUAUAUUGAACCGCAUGGUUCAAUAGUGAAAGACGGUUUUGCUGUCACUUAUAGAUGGAUCCGCGCCGCAUUAGCUAGUUGGUAAGGUAACGGCUUACCAAGGCAACGAUGCGUAGCCGACCUGAGAGAGGGAGCGGCCACACUGGAACUGAGACACGGUCCAGACUCCUACGGGAGGCAGCAGUAGGGAAUCUUCCGCAAUGGGCGAAAGCCUGACGGAGCAACGCCGCGUGAGUGAUGAAGGUCUUCGGAUCGUAAAACUCUGUUAUUAGGGAAGAACAAAUGUGUAAGUAACUAUGCACGUCUUGACGGUACCUAAUCAGAAAGCCACGGCUAACUACGUG